rnacentral:lncRNA from 1 species
AUAAAAAUAAAAAUUCACGUAUCUAUUCAUUUUACCGUAAAAUGGCGUCAACACCUAAUAAAGGAUGGUACUUAAUGCGAAUAGGUUGUUAGAUUUUUGAUGAUUUACUGUCAGUAAAUUUCUUUGGGGGAAAAAAAUUAAUGGGAGCGGAUGCCUGAUGGGCUACACCAUAAUUUAAUGGCAAUGUCAGACUUCAAUCAUGAGCCUACAAUAUAUGAAGGGUUUCUCAGAUGGCCACUGCCCUAAUAAUUCUUGCCCUACAAACUGUGUGUUUUGUGUGUGUUUUUUGAACAAGAAGAAAGAUAUCUGGAUUUGAACAUUCAAACUGAAAAGGCAAUAAAACGAUUGUUACUAGGGUAAACUUUCCAGCUAACUUUUAUUCUUGGUUGAAAAUCAAAGGAGAAAGCUCCAUUUCUCCUUUUCAUGAUCUUGACCGUUGAGCUGCGAAGCAGGUGAUCAAGAACUUGUAAGAGACAAAAUCUUAAAAUUAAACUAGCUAGUCAGAUAAAAUUUUCCUAGGAAAAGAAUAAUUGAUUCACACACAAAAUCCGCAAAAGUAGGGUUCCAGUACCUGGCAGAAAUUUUAUUCCAUUCUUUACUUUCUAUUCAUCUGAUUCUGAAGCUUUUUGCCCCAAGAUUUGCUGCAAAACACAGAUCCAAACGAAACCAAAAACAUAUACAAACAGGCACCAUAUGUUUAAUUCGAGGAACACUUUAACGCCAAGAAAGUUAACACAUACAAAAAUGGAGCAUCUGAAAUAGAUUAACAUGCAUGGCAAAAAGGUUUAAAAAAUUUGCACAAAUUUAUGGCAAGGGGGUCGUUACCUUGGUCUGUAUACAGUUGAAAACAAGAGAGUGUGUGUCACAAGGGUUUUACAAAAAGAAUUCAACAGAACUCAGUUGGCAGUAUGCCCACCUCCAUAUAUGAUAUCAGAUUAAAAUUUCUUAAUCCUUUCUUAAUAGGAAUGGAGGUGGACAGAAUGCCAAUAAAUUCUGUAGGAAACCCUUUGAUAAACCGCCAUGACCUAAUCAAGAACACACCAAAUUACCAUUGAAAUUACUCACGCCCACACAAAAGAGGGGCAUGUGCAGAGGAAAGGGAUGGAUUAUUAGCACCAAGUAUGAGGGAUAAGAAGGAGGGCAGUUGAGCACUAUUUAAAAUGAAAGAUGAGGCCACCACAGUAAAUAAGAGAGAGAAAGUUGAAGAGACGUAAAUAAUGAAUAGGGGUGGUUUCUGAAGAAGGUAAUAAUCAGAUUGGAUGGUUCAUUCUUGGGGAAAAUUAACAAGAAAAGAAUCAAAGAUUCAUCAUAGUAAUUCUUGCCCCCAAAAACCCUUUCCAUCUCGUUUGUGAUGAAAAGAAAAGAAAAAUACACUCAUAUCAUAUCUCCCCACCAUCAGUCUCUUCUUUGCCUUUCUCGUACCCUCGUUUGUGACGAAGACACAGUCAGAUUUCUCCAUCUCUUCUUUCUUCUCUCCGUAAAAGUGACAGAACCAGAAAACCUCGAUAAAGGGGAUAAAAAGGAUUUAGGUUUUGGUGUAACCAUCAAAGGAGGGCUUGUUGUGUUCUG